rnacentral:tRNA from 1 species
UUUAAUGCAGUGUUUGUGGCAUUUUACAUUUUGGUUGUAAAGGAAGUUAGUUGCUCGUUAAAU